UACGUAGGGGGCAAGCGUUGUCCGGAAUCAUUGGGCGUAAAGAGCGUGUAGGCGGCUCGAUAAGUCUGCUGUGAAAGUCCAGGGCUCAACCCUGGAAGGCCGGUGGAAACUGUCGGGCUAGAGUCCGGAAGAGGCGAGUGGAAUUCCUGGUGUAGCGGUGAAAUGCGCAGAUAUCGGGAGGAACACCAGUAGCGAAGGCGGCUCGCUGGGCCAUUCCUGACGCUGAGACGCGAAAGCUAGGGGAGCGAACAGG
rnacentral:rRNA from 1 species